rnacentral:sRNA from 1 species
CAAAUUAUUUUUACUUCUCUAUUCUUAGUCUUGUUGAGUCACUGUGUAUAAUGAAUUAACUUCUGUAUGCACCUAGAAUAGUACUGGCUAUGUAUUAUCCCUGACAAGACUGAGGAAAUAGUCACUUUCUGUGUGGCCUAACAAUGGCCUAGAAAAGCUGGACUAGACCAUCUGUUGAGCUCCUUCUAGCUCUAAUUUUAUUUAAUUCUAUAUUUCAUCCACAAAAUUAGUUUGAUACUGUACUUUAUAAAAUUGGGGGAAGGAGUCCUUUUCUCAUAUGUGAUGCUAAUUGAUUUUUGAGAAAAUAUCUUGGUAUUCAUUUUACCCUAAGAGCUGCUACUACCUGCCCAUUUUAUCUUGCUUUAUGCACCAGUGUCACAGUUGUGCUCAACCCAUUUAAAUGUCUAAGAACUUUUAUUCUUAGUCUCAAUAUGAAUUUUUGGCAUCAUACUAUUAAUAAUUAAAGGAACACAUUUAGAAGAGGACUGUCUUUUGAUAAAGUGUUUAAGGUAGAGACAAAUUUUCCCUUUUCUUUUCGAGUGAUAAAUAUAUAUUAGGUAGGUAGUCAUAACACAUUUGUUUUAGACAUUUAUUCAAUCAUUUGUUCAGUCUUAUUAAAUACCUAUCAUGUGUCAAGAACCAAUGCUAGGUUUUGAAUUUAAAAAUGGAAAGGGCUAAAUAGCUGCAUGAUCUUGGAUGAGAGUACACACACACGCACACACAUACAUAUAUAUAUGUGGUCCUUCAUAAAUCUAAAAUGCUGUAAUUAUUAGGUAAUCUGCAGGGUGUAUUUUUUUUCCUCAGUCCCUUUGGGUGUGACUGCUGUACACAUUUUCAUGUUACCAUUGACAUCUUCAGUUUUUCAAUGUGAUGUGUAAUGCAUAUAAGCAGCAUAUGUAGUGGUUGAAGAGUACAGGCUGUCUGGAGUGGCACAGCCUGGGAUUCAGUUUACAUCUCUGUGCCUCAGUAUUCUCAGCUCUAGCAUGUUGAUAAUAAUUUCCUUCUUCCUAGGGUUUUGGUAGGAUUAAAUGAGUUAAUACAUGUAACACAUUUAGAACAAUGCAUGACACGUAAUAAGCAUUUAGUAAAAGCUAUUAUUAGUAUACAUGUGUGAAACAGGAAAAUAAUUUUUAAAAGUAUAUCAGGCAGUAGUGUAAAGGUAGAUCCCUUUGUAUAUUGGUAAAUGCCAAAAAUAACUUUAGGUAGCCUCUUUUUGUUGGGUAGUGUCAUCACUUCCUCACUGGGAAGAAAUCUUGUAACACCUGUGUUCAUUAGAAUUUCCUGUAGAUAGUGAGGAUAGUCACAUGGCAUUAAACAUUUAAAAUAUAUUUAGUGAAUUAUAGUCACAUGCUUUAAAAUGUUUUUCCAGAGCUCUUUCUGGCAGUUCUCUUUCCUUAGGUUUUCAGCAAGAUUUUUGUUUAUUCUACCACAAGAUUAAAUAAUAGUACAGUAUAUAUCAAAACCAACUUGAUCUGUUUUUCAUGGGCUUAGAAAUUUAUAACUUCAUUAUAAUUUGGUAUUUGACAGUGAACUUAAGUAAUGAGAGAAAUCUUUGUAAUAGAAUAUGUUGGUAAAUAUAUGCCUGUGAAGAAUUUUUAGUGAGUAGAGAAUAUUUAAUAAAAUGUUUAUUUUCUCCUUACACAUUAGCUGUUUGAAUAUUUUUUUAAAUGAUCAGUCAACUUCCAGAAGUUAUUUUUUAUACAGCUUGAUCCAAGGUCUUGAAGCCCUUCUUAUUAGUAGUGAUGGGAUGUAGUAGGAGUGACCCAAUUUUUGAAAUGUAGUAUCUAUUGAUUGUUUACAGGCUGCUUUAAGAUUUAAGCCUGUGUUUAUUAAUUUCAUGAUAAAAUUUAAUGUCAUUGAUAUUUAUGAAUUUCAGAUGACAAAUACUUUAUUAAUAAAGCUAUGUAAAUUAUAUUGGGAAUAAAUUGUUUAACAUGACUAAAGUUGUUUUAAAAUUAUUUCAAUGUUUAAGAUAAAAAUUUGUGACUUUUAAAAUUAAUUUCUCCUCUUGAUGUGUUUUUAGCUAUGCAAAAGCAGCCUUUUGUUUAGAGGAACUAAUGAUGACUAAUCCACACAACCACUUAUACUGUCAGCAGUAUGCUGAAGUUAAGUAUACCCAAGGUGGACUUGAAAACCUCGAACUUUCAAGAAAGUAUUUUGCACAGGCAUUGAAACUGAACAACAGAAAUAUGAGAGCUUUGUUUGGACUUUAUAUGUCGGCAAGUCAUAUUGCUUCUAAUCCAAAAGCAAGUGCAAAAACGAAAAAGGACAACAUGAAAUAUGCUAGUUGGGCAGCUAGUCAAAUAAACAGAGCUUAUCAGUUUGCAGGUCGAAGUAAGAAGGAAACCAAAUAUUCUCUUAAGGCUGUCGAAGACAUGUUGGAAACAUUGCAGAUCACCCAGUCUUAAGGUUUCAAAAACUCUUUGACAUUAGAUUUCACAACUGCACAAUUGAACUUAUUGGCCUGUAACUUAUUUACUAAAUGCUCAGUGCUAUAUAUAUACUACAGUAAUUUUCUGUUAAGAAGGCAGUUGUAAAGAAUGUGUUUAUAUAAACCUAAAAAUGCCUUUUACUGCUAAGUGGGAAGAUGGGAGAAAUCCAUGGAAGAGAGAUUUAAGACUUAUUGAUUGUACAUCAGUCUCUUCAUAUCACAUAUACAUGUAUAUAUAUAAAACUCUAAUGUAGUAUAACCUUGUUAAAUAAACCAUGAUGAUUUAUUAAACUUGCA